rnacentral:tmRNA from 1 species
GAAUCUGCUAAAGAUAUUAGCAAGAUGAAAUAACUGUAUGAAGUAAGUAGAAACGUAUUCAAGACGCGAGUUCAAUUCUCGCCAGGUCCACCAGUUAGUAGCUUACGGCGACCGAUAAGGACUGUCAUAAAGCUAAGAGCCUUUGACUAAGCUACUAGCUAAUGGGCCUGACCUGGUUUCGAUUGGGUAAUUAGUAUACGAAUGGACAGUUCGCCAAGAAAGGCGUUAAAAUCGCAAAACUAUAAAUGCAAACGACAACGUUUUCGCAUUAGCAGCCUAAUACUCUGCUAAGGGUUCGUCCGGUUCCUCGUAACAGAAUACCGGACAUUAUAAGUUAGUACUUUUGUCCAUGGAGUUGGUAACGGACAGAU